AGAAUACCGACAUUAAUCUCAGAACUCCGGGUACCUGUAAGGACCAACCUCUGUGGGAGAGACACUUUGCUUCAUGCAAUAGGAGGAAACCACACGCAGAGUAGCCAGUAGCCCUAGCCUACUUGUGCCGAGAUGUCUUCCUUUAGUGACUUCUUGCGGGUUCGAGGGGUUCCCAGAAGAAGCCAUUUCGUUAAUGGAAGACCAAAAGUUGAGUGAAACUGGAACAUGUGUUGUUUUGGUGCCAAUUUCACUCACCUUUUGGUCUCCCAUUAACAAACCGGUUAAUGAUACCCGUAGUUCUGACUUUAAAGUCAGAAUUCUGAGGAAAAAGUCAGAGUCAAAGUGUGGCCCUCAUCCUCUUCCCUAACCUUAGGUUACUUUAAUCUUUCACAAUUGUAUUCAGCUCUGGUAUAGGUAACGUAAGGUAAAACAAAUCAUAAUAAUGAUGAUGAUGAUGAUAUAAUAAUAACUAUAAUCAUUGAAUAUUCUCACUUUGUGUAUCUCUGUUGGCCAAUCAAGUCCAUCAUCAGCGAUGCCGUCAAUCUAUGCGCCAGGAUCAUUGCGCUUCUGAACUCAGCAAAGUUUAGGCCCUGCCCCUCCUGCCAAGAACCUAACCAGGUGAGGGAAAAGUGGAAUAGAGCAUUAGACCUAUGUCCAAUGUUCUAAUAUGUGGUUUAAUGUUAUACAUUUCUCCUUAGUAGGUCACGUGGACACUAAAGUAUGCUCCUACUAAAUUACUUUGUAUGAUAUCUGUGCUGUGUUACAAAACAGGGAUAAUGUAAGAUGUCUGGAUUGAUAUAAAUUUCGAUUGCUUGUUUUGCACCAAAUGCCAUAUGCGUCAUUGAUUAGAGUAGCCUGGGUGCCUCAAAGCUCUGCCACUUUCACUGUAUGAUUAUCAUCCUUUGCCAUGAUCUGUUGUGUACUUACUUAAACUCUGGAUAAUCCUGUGUCAAUCCAGAGACGCAUAUUCUGAAUUGCAUUGUGCUUCAUUUGUGCCUCUUUCCUGUAUACAGCCAAAUUAAACGCUGUAUCUUGAA